UACGUAGGGUGCAAGCGUUAAUCGGAAUUACUGGGCGUAAAGCGUGCGCAGGCGGUUAUGUAAGACAGUUGUGAAAUCCCCGGGCUCAACCUGGGAACUGCAUCUGUGACUGCAUAGCUAGAGUACGGUAGAGGGGGAUGGAAUUCCGCGUGUAGCAGUGAAAUGCGUAGAUAUGCGGAGGAACACCGAUGGCGAAGGCAAUCCCCUGGACCUGUACUGACGCUCCAUGCGACGAAAGCGUGGGGAGCAAACGAGG
rnacentral:rRNA from 1 species